rnacentral:rRNA from 1 species
UACGGAGGGUGCAAGCGUUACUCGGAAUCACUGGGCGUAAAGGGUGCGUAGGCUGGCUUCUAAGUCAGAUGUGAAAUCCAAUGGCUUAACCAUUGAACUGCAUUUGAAACUGGAAGCCUAGAGUUCAGAAGGGGCAGAUGGAAUUAGUGGUGUAGGGGUAAAAUCCGUAGAUAUCACUAGGAAUAUCAAAAGCGAAGGCGAUCUGCUGGGAUGAUACUGACGCUGAGGCACGAAAGCGUGGGGAGCAAACAGGAUUAGAAACCCGGUAGUCC